rnacentral:sRNA from 1 species
GCUGUAAAACCAGCAGCAGCAUGAACUAAUUAAAAUAGCUUAAGCAAAAACGCUAACGCUUAUAAAAAGUUCUACUAGUACAUUUGAGCUUUGACCGCAGAUGGCCGUAUCCUUAAAUUAAGAUGUGCCCUUUUGCUUCUUGGGCAUCCUGUAGCCACCAACGACGCAGGCAUGGUCACGCUCGAAGGGCUCCAGGGUCACCUGCUCCGACGGCUUGAACUGAUCCGCCUUCAGCUUCUCAACCUCGCUAGCGAACACAGCCUCAGCUGGCAUGGUGGAGUCGAUACAUACCUUGAUUGAAAUGACAAAAUGCCCACCAUUCUUCAGGAAGUAGGAUGCGUUGAGGGCUAAGAUCCUAGCCUGCUCUGGCUGGGCAACAUCAGAGAAGAUAACAUCAACCAUGCCAACCAACAUCCGGUACCUUGCUGGGUGCCUAGCAUCCUCAAUGAUGGGGAUCACAUUAGUCCUCUUUUUGGCCAUGUUAACAAGAUCCCUACCACUCCUGUGCGAGAACUCAACAGCGUAGACCAAACCA